rnacentral:tRNA from 1 species
GAGGGUGUAGCUCAGUGGUAGAGCGCGUGCUUAGCGUGCACGAGGUCCUGGGUUCAGUCCCCAGGACCGCCG